CACACAGCCCAGCGCUAGACGACAAGGAAGCACAAAAUCGCCGCUCAUCUCGAUCCUCUUCUCAUCUCUGCUGGCUCCGAGCACUUUUCCUCUCCAUUCCUUCCUCCUCCUUCCCUGACCAGCCGGCCGCCGCCCCGUGCAGGUUCAAGACGUAGCCGUGGCGUCUGAGCACCCGCGACCCGUGCACGUUCAAGCCGCAGCCAUGGCGUCCGAGCACACGCGACCCGUCCUCCUACCGACCGCCGCCAUCGGCCUCCAAAGCGUCGCCGCGCGUGACCCGGACGGAUCCGAUGAGAUCCGCCACGCCGGAUCUGAGGAGCUCCGCGCUGGAUCCGCCCGUCCACGGAGUCCCUGCGGUCUCCCCCUUCCUCCCAUCCCUUUCCCUUUUCCUGGUGCAGUAGCAGCUGACGACUGGUGAAGGCGAGGUUGCAGCCAACGACGACGGAGUCGAGAGGCAGCAGUCGGUGACGUCAAGCGCAUCUCUAGGAUAGUUGCACACUCUAGACCAUUUAGUUGGCAGGAGACAUUGUACAGUGAGGCAGUCACAGAUCUAGCUGUGCCAACCCCAGACAUUAUCUUGCCAACUUCAGAGUACAAACUGCCAAGCAAACCUGAUACAGUGCCAACUCAAGAUCUCAGCAUAACAUCUAGUAAAGUACCAACAGACAAAGGCUCAGUGACAACUCCAGAAGCCAUUGUGGCAACUCAAGUAGCCAUUGUGCCAACUCUAGCGUCUAGUGGGCCAGCUGCAGGUCCAAAUGUGCCAACUCCAGCAUCCAGUGAGCCAACUGCAUAUCCAAUUGUGACAACUCUGGCAGCCACUGUGCCACCCCCAGCAGCUAUUGAGCCAACUGCAGGUUCAAAUGUGCCAAAUGGAGCAACUUCUGAGCUAACUAAAGGUCUACUUGUGCCAACUGCAAGACAUUUUGUUGCCAACUAAUAGUGGUAUUGGGCAACCUGUCCAACCUCCUUUGCCAACAGCUCAAAAAGGCACAAAGUUUGAUCAUCAAAACAAACUAACCCAGGAGGAAGUCUACAGGAAUCUAUGCUUUCUUUGAAGAUGACAAAGCCAUGGGUAAACAAGGUCUAGAGGGGAGGUGAAGGGGAAGUUAAAGAGGAAGAAAUUUAAUGGAUCCUCACUUUUCCCUCCUCCUAGUUGUUGUGGUUGCACAAUUGUGUCUGUAGAUGGCUCACUUGCUGGUGGAGUUGGCACAAUGGCUGAUACAGUUGGUUCAUUUGGACCUGCAGCUGGCUCAGUUGGUGCUGCAAUUGCCACAAUAGCGACUGGGUUUGUUGGUUUGUUGCAUGGGAUGCUGACAUACUUACCAUGUUUUUGCACAUCUUUUUGUUGCACAUCAUUUUUGCACACAGUGUGGCUAUAUUUUGGUUGCUGGAACUGAUUUAGUUGCAUGAAAGCAGCUUCAAUUUGCCUAUGUUUUGUUUACACAACUGUUGUGGAUAUAUUUUGUGUCUACUUUUUUUUGCACACAGUGUGACCAUACUUGGCUGCUGGAAUUGUUGUAGUUGCACGAAAGCAGAUAACUGGUUGCACAGAUUGUGUGCAAACUCCCCCUACACAAAUCAUGGGUUUCUGUGGUCUACUAAAGAUCCGUGCAAGAAUAUCAGAAGAAGGGCAGGUCUGGAGGUAACCUGAACAGGCAAUUGGAAGUUGAAGAAAAUCAGCUGAAGAGGAUUCUCACCUUGUGUUGCCUCCUACAGUUCACUUGCUACAGUGGAGGAGGUGUCAUGCGAGGAGGAGCCUCUGUGGAUGCCGGCGCCGCGGCUGAUCUUCUACAACACGGCCAGGGACGACGGCGGCGUGGACGAGUUCGACGAGGGGACGUGGAAGUACUUCUCGUUCAAGGAGCAGAGCCUGGCGGCGCUGCACCGCAGGCUGGCGGAGGAGACCCGGCGCCAGGACUUCGUCGUCUGCCGAAGCCCGCGGGAGCGGCCCGGGGCUGUUCCCCGUCGUCCUGGACCUCCCUCCCGGCAACAGCCAGAUGGAGUUCGUCCUCGUCCCGGCGUCCUCUCCUGCAGUUCUAGAGAAUGACAUGGAGUAGGCUUGAACAUAAAUGGUAGAUGGGCAGAAUUACAGAAAGGUCAAGACGUCAAGUAUACCUUUUUUUAGGGAAGGUCGAUGUUGAAAUCUUCGAUGAUCAAUCUUUUCAUUUUCAGCAAUCCAUCUAAUAUUGGAGCGUCUUCUUCCGGAACAUGUGUAUGUUUGUUGAUUUCUUGUUAUCUACAUUGUAAGUGCAUACCCAAUGCUGAUGUGGCUCACGCAUGGCUCUGGUAUGGUUAGAAUUUUAA